rnacentral:rRNA from 1 species
GACGAACGCUGGCGGCGUGCUUAACACAUGCAAGUCGAACGGAAAGGCCUCUUUCGGGGGGUACUCGAGUGGCGAACGGGUGAGUAACACGUGAGUAACCUGCCCUUGACUUUUGGAUAACUUCAGGAAACUGGGGCUCAUACCGGAUAGGAGCUCCUGCUGCAUGGUGGGGGUUGGAAAGUUUCGGCGGGUGGGGAUGGACUCGCGGCUUAUCAGCGUGUUGGUGGGGUAGUGGCUUACCAAGGCUUUGACGGGUAGCCGGGCUGGGAGGGUGUCCGGGCACAAUGGGGCUGGGAUACGGCCCAGACUCCUACGGGAGGCAGCAGUGGGGAAUAUUGCACAAUGGGUGGAAGCCUGAUGCAGCAACGCCGUGUGCGGGAUGACGGCCUUCGGGUUGUAAACCGCUUUCGCUCAUGACGAAGCUUUGUGUGACGGUAGUGGGUAAAGAAGCACCGGCUAACUACGUG